rnacentral:misc_RNA from 1 species
GAUGAAGAACGUAGCGAAAUGCGAUAAGUAAUGUGAAUUGCAGAAUUCAGUGAAUCAUCGAAUCUUUGAACGCACAUUGCGCCCGCCAGUAUUCUGGCGGGCAUGCCUGUUCGAGCGUCAUUUCAACCAUCAAGCCCCCGGCUUGUGUUGGGGACCUGCGGCUGCCGCAGGCCCUGAAAACCAGUGGCGGGCUCGCUAGUCACUCCGAGCGUAGUAGUUACAUCUCGCUUUGGGCGUGCGGCGGGUUCUUGCCGUUAAACACCCCCUUUUUACCAAGGUUGACCUCGGAUCAGGUAGGAAUACCCGCUGAACUUAAGCAUAUCAAUAAGCGGAGGA